UACGUAGGGGGCAAGCGUUGUCCGGAUUUAUUGGGCGUAAAGAGCGUGUAGGCGGCCAAACAGGUCCACUGUGAAAACUCGAGGCUCAACCUCGAGAGGUCGGUGGAAACUGGUCGACUUGAGUGCAGAAGAGGGAAGUGGAAUUCCAUGUGUAGCGGUGAAAUGCGUAGAGAUAUGGAGGAACACCAGUGGCGAAGGCGGCUUCCUGGUCUGUAACUGACACUGAGGCACGAAAGCGUGGGGAGCAAACAGG
rnacentral:rRNA from 1 species